rnacentral:lncRNA from 1 species
CCUUGGGGAUUUCCUACCCGUUGGGGGGACCUCCGAACCCAACCAAACGAGAACAGUCGGGUGGAGGCUGGAGACUGGGAAGACUUCCACCAUCUGAAGGACAUCUCGGUGCCGAAGCAGAAGGAGCUCGUCACCGAGCAGGCCCUGUACCAUACCGGUCUCAGCUCGGUGCCCCGCCUAGGUCUGUGUCUUUGCUGUUGUUGUUGUUUUUUUUUUU